GUUUAUAGUGUUUACUUUUUUACUGAUUCAGUUUCAGAACUUAUUAUUGAUUAUUUUCAGGUUUUCAGUGUCUUCCAAGUUCAAUCUCAGGAUGAUGUGUGUUUCCAGGAAUUUAUCCAUUUCCUUUAGAUAGUCUAAUGUGCAUGUGUAGCAGUGUUCAAAUUAGUCUCUGAAGAUCUUUGUAUUUCUGUGGGAUUGACUGUAAUGUCAUCUUUGUCAUUUCUGUCAUUUCUGAUUGUGCUUAUUUGGAUCUUCUCUCUCUCUCUCUCUCUCUCUGUCUCUAAUCUAGCCAGUCAUGUAUUAAUGUUUUUUACUCUUUUGAAAAACCAACUCUUGGUUUCAUUGAUCUUUUGUAUCUUUUUUUUGCAUCUCAAUUUUAUUCAGUUAUUUGAUUUUUAAAUUUAUUUUUUUCUGAUAGCUUGGGGGUUAUUUUAUUUUAUUUUUCCUAAUUCCUCUAGGUUCAAGGUUAGAUUGUUAAUUGACAUCUUUCUAAUUUUUUGAUAAAGGCAUUCGGUCUUAUAAACUUUUCUAUUAACACUACUUCAGCUGCAUCCCAAUGAUUUUGGUAAGUUGUGUCUUUAUUUUCAUUAACUUCUUAAUAACUUUUUGAUUUCAGCAAUAAUUUUGUUCUUCACCCAAGAGUUACUCAGAAGCAAGUUGUUUAAUUUCCAUGUAUUUGGAUUUUUUUUUUUUUUUUUUCUUUUUGAGAUGGAGUCUUGCUCUGUCGCCCAGGCUGGAGCACAGUGGCUUGAUCUCGGCUCACUGCAAGCUCCGCCUCCCGGGUUCAUGCCAUUCUCCUACCUCAGGCACCCAAGUAGCUGGGACUACAGGAGCCUGUCACCAAGCCCAGCUAAUUUUUUUGUAUUUUUAGUAGAGACGGGGUUUCACCCAGUUAGCCAGGAUGGUCUCAAUCUCCUGACCUCCUGAUCCACCUGCCUUGGCCUGCCAAAGUGCUGGAAUUACAGGCGUGAGCCACCAUGCCCAGGCAUAUUUGGAAAUAUUUGAGGAAUCUUUCUCUUAUUGAUUUUUAUAUAUAUUGCACUGUAGUUUGAGAGUGUGUUUGGUAUCACUUUGAUGUUUUUGAAUUUAUUGGGACUUGCUUUAUGCUGAGCACGUGUUGGGUCUUAGAAUAUUUUCUAUGUGCACGUGAGAAGAAUGUAUAUUCUGUGAUUGAUGGAUGGGGUCUUCUCUGGAUGUCUAUUUGGUCCAAUUGGUUUAGUGUAAAGUUUACAUCCAUAAUUUCUUUGUUAGUUUUCUGCCUCAACAAUCAGUCUAGUGUUGUCAGUGGAGUGUUGACGUGCCCUAUUAUUAUUGGGUAGCUGUCUACAUCUUUUCAGAGGUCAAGAAAAACUUCUUUUAUAAAUCUUCGUGCUCUAAUGUUGGGUGAUUAUAUAUUUAGUAAAGUCUUCUUGUUCAGUUGAACUGUUUACCAUUAUGUAAUGCCCUACUUUGUCCUACUUACUGGUUGUUUAUUUAAAAUCUGUUUUAUCUGACAGAAGAACUCUGACUCCUUCUUUUAUUUGUAUUCUGUUUGCAUGGUAGAUCUUUCUUCAUCCUUUUAUGUUGAGUUCAUAGAUGUCAUUAUGUGUGAGAUGGGUCCCUUGAAGACAGCAGAUAAUGGGUUUUUUCUAUUUAUCCAGCUUGUCACUCUAUGCAUUCUAAGUAUGGCAUAUAGACCAUUUACAUUCAGGGUUAGUGUUAAUAUGAGAGCUUUUGAUGCUGCCAUGUUGUUAGCUGAUUGUUGCGUAGACUUGAUUGUGUAGUUGUUUUCUAGUGUUUGUGGGCUACUGUACUUAAGUGUGUUUUUGUGGUAGCAGCUAUUGUUCUUUCAUUUCCAUGUUUAGCACUCUCUCAAGGACCUCUUAUAAGACUGGACUAGUAAUGAAUCCCCUUAAUAUGUGGUUGUUUGAGAAGGAUUUUAUUUCUCCUUCACUUAUUAUGUUUAUUUUGGCAGGGUUUGAAAUUUUUAGUUGGAACUUCUUUUCCUUAAGGAUGCUGAAAAUAAGGUCCCAAUUUCUUCUGGCUUGUAAGGUUUCUGUUGACAGGUCACUGCUAGCCUGAUGGGGUUCCCUUUGUAAGUGACCUGACCCUUCUCUCUAGCUACCUGUAAGGUUUUUUCUUUCAUAUCGACAUUCAUUAAUCUGAUGACUAUGUGACUUAGAGAUGGUUAUUUUACAUAGUAUCUCACUGAGGUGCUCUGUAUUUCUUGAAUUUGCAUAUCAACAUCUCUAGCAAGACUGGGGUAACUGUAAUGAACUAUGUCCUCAAAUAUGUUUUCCAGGUUGCUUACGAUCUCUUCUUCUCUCUCAGAAAUGCCAAUGAAUCUUGUUUUAUCUCUUUAAAUAAUCCUAUAUUCCUCCAAGUUUUUAUGUAUAUUUUAAAUUUUUUUCUUUAUUUGUGUCUGACUGAGUUGAUUUGAAUAACUAGUCUUCAAGUUCUGGGACACUUUCCUUAGACUGGUCUAUGCUGCUGUUAAUGCUUCUGCCUGUAUUAUGAAAUUCUUUUAGAAAAUUUUUCAAUUCCAGAAGUUUAGUCUGUUUUUUGUCUUUCGGCUCUUGGAUCAUUUUACUGGAUUUCUUGGGCUGUUUGGAUUGGGCUUCAACAUUUUUCUGACUCUCAAUGAGCUUCCUUGCCAUUCAGAUUCUGAUUUCUAUGUCUGUCAUUUCAGUCAUUUCAGACUGGUUCAUAACCAUGGCUGAGGGGCUAGUGGACUCAUUUGGAUUUAUGAGGAUACUCUGGCUUUUUAAGUUGUCACAGUUUUUGUGCUGAUUAUCUCUCAUCUGGUGUUUCUUUAACAGUGGUGUAAGUUGAGUAUAAUCAGUUGGAAUUUCUGGAUAUUUUCCGAGGGCUGAGGCUCUGUACAGGAUUUUUAUUUGUCACUGAAUUCUCACCUCUGGCUUCACAGGGGGAUUUAUUGGCAAAAUAUUUUUGGUGUUAUAGUUUGGCUGCAAUCCAGUAGGUGUUGCUUAUGAGUAAUUGGCUGUAAUAUGCUCUUAGCCAUGUGUCCUCUUUAUUUUUUCACAUUUGCAGUCAUGCUCUGUGGUUCUGGGGGAAGGAAUGUAGCUUUAUCACCAUGUCCAUUCCUGGUCCUUGGGAGAGCUCCCUCCUAUCAUUGGUGGCAGUGUUCCAGACUGUAAAGCUCCCUCAAGCAGAGGCUAUGGCUGGCAGGCAGGCUACACCCUUCCUGGACUAGCCCUGCAGAGGGAGGUAUACCAUGCUCCUGCACUGGCCCAUGAGCUCGUGUGUCUCACCCUUUUUAGUCUUCUGAGAGGUGGGGGCUCCUCCCCAACUUGAGUUGAAGCUACAGAUCUAGACUCAGGACUGAGUGCAUGUUUAGGACUUAGCAGAUAUGAUUGCAUUAAGACUUUUGAGAUGGGAUGAUUAUUCUGGAUUGCUCUAAUGGACCCAGUGUAAUCCCAAGGAUUGUUAUAACUGAAAGAUAAAAUCAGUAGGGUCAAAUAGAGAUUCGAAUAUUUCCUAUUGCUAGAUUUCAAAAUGAAGAGGAGGCUAUGAGCCAAAUAAUUCAGGCAGCCCCUAGAAGCUAGGAAAGGCAAAGAAAUAGAUUAUUCUCUAAAACCUUCAGAGAAAUGUAGGCCUUCUAACAUUCUAAAGGUCACCCAGUAAAACUCAUUUUGAACUUCUAAUCUCCAGAAUUAUUAGAUAAUAUGUUUGUGCUGUUUUAAGUCAUUAAGUUUGUUGUAAUUUGCUACAGUGACAACAGGAAAGAAAUACACCCCACCUUCUCGUUGCAAUUUAGGGUAGAUUUCUCCACUAUUUAUUUAAUUUCAUCUCUGUACAUACUUCUAUCAGAGCACACAUUUAUCCCAUAGAUAUAUAUUAAAAACAUUUUUGUGUCAGUUUUAUCCAAUUGAAUAAACACACAGAGGGUAUUUUGCUGUAUUUUGAUCUCUUGAGUAGAUUACUAGCUUCUAUAGUUUGAGACUUAUGUCUUUCAACUCUAUGAACAUAGUUACUUUAUCUAAUUAUGAAGUUGGAAUUAAAUUGCAGCUGAAUAACAGAUAUAUGAAUUUCUCAAGCCCUCCAACCUGGAAGUUACCUUUCAUUCUUCCCUGUCCUUUAUUCACUACAACUCAUCAUCAAACUUCUCUACCAUUGAAAAAAUAAAAAAACCUAGAAUAUGAAAACUUUUAGUUUCUUCACCACUAUCACUCUGUUCCAAAUCACCAUGUUCCCCAAUUGGAACUCAUAACUUGCCAAAACUGUUGCAAUAGCCUCAUAAUUAGUUUUCUUAACUAUCUUCUUGCCUCUUUAUAGGUUUAUUCUUAAUCUACUACUCUCAACCCAGAGUACUUUUGUUUAAAAAAAUUCUGAUUAUUACAUUCCUCUGCUCCAAUGCCUCCAAUGCUUUACAGUCUCACUCAUAAUAAAAUCGAAAAUGCUUUUGAUAUAUCAAUUGCUACAUGAUUUAGCGCAGUGAUAUUUUGAUGAACUCAUCACCUCCCUUAUUCCACUGGAUCAUUUUGUCUUGCUAUACUGGUCUUGUAAAACCAGCAUAAUUGUCUCAUAGAACUGAUGUUUAUGGCUUCUUUUGAAGACACAAAAUAAUUGACCCUCCCAGUCUUAAAACUUGAGAAACUUAAACUUGUUUUAUCUGAGUUUCUUUCUCAGGAAACAAACCAUCAGUCAUCCCAGAUAGUAUCAAGGAACUGAAACUUAGCAGAUCACCACAUUUGGACAAUGAGGUGCUGGACUCUUCACCCAUCAUGAUUGCCUAUUCAACCACCUGCUUCCUAUUGACCACCUCCCCUUCCUUACCUCUCCAAAAUUCCUGUUUUUUCACAUAUAGUUACAUUUCUUCCUUGCUAUAUAAACCCCUAUAUUUAAUAGGUUGAGGAGAUGGAUUUGAGACUGAUUUCCCAAUUUCUCAGCUGAGGGACACAAAUGAAGCCUUCUUCCUUGGAAAUAUUUGCUUUAGUGAUUGGCUUUCUUUGUGGUAAGCAACAGGACCUAGACUUUACCUGGUGUUUCAGUAACACUUGCUAUGCAAACAGUUAAGGCACUCUGAGAUCCUUAGCACUAAAAACUGCCUAUUCCUGGAAUGCUCUUGCCCAUUGUAUGCUUUAUUCAUCUCCUCCUACUUCACUCAAGUCUCUGCUCAACAGUGCCUUAUAUAAUUGUUCCUCUGAGACCACACUAUAUGUAAUCACACAUUCCGCUUAUAUUUAUCCAUCUUUCACGACUUUAUUUUUCUUCCCAACCCUUAUCAUCACACGAUACUUUAUAUACUUUUUGUAUCCUAUGUUUCUUCUCAUUAUAACAUAAGGUCCAUGAAUGGAGACACAUAGUCUACUGUUUUAUAUACAAGCACACCCCCUAUACCUAGGCCAGUUUUUCAGAAGUGCUUAAUAAAUGUUUGUUGAAUAAAUAAGUAAAUUACAUUGUACAAAAGCACUUAGAAUUACUAAAUGUCAGCUUAUAUUGUUGAGGGGAAAAAGUAGGCCUUUCGAAAAUAUUUUUGUGUUAUAUGUUUAUAAAUAUUUAUAUCAACCAGAACAUGCAUCACAUUUUUAUAUAGUUGUUUCCAGUUUCAGAUGCAAAUAUGUGUUAUAUUUGUGUAUUGAUAUUUUAUAAUUACAAGGUAUUAAUAUAAUUGUGUAAC
rnacentral:lncRNA from 1 species